CCCUUAGAUGUUCUGGGCCGCACACGCGCUACACUGAAGGAGGCAGCGUGUACUCCUGGAUCGAAAGAUUUGGGUAACCCGCGAAUCUCCUUCGUGCUAGGGAUUGAGGUUUGCAAUUAUCCUUCAUGAACGAGGAAUUCCCAGUAAGUGCAAGUCAUAAGCUUGCGCUGACUACGUCCCUGCCCUUUGUACACACCGCCCGUCGCUACUACCGAUUGAAUGAUUUAGUGAGGACUUUGGACUGGGACCGAUGCGGCUUUCGGGCUGCGUCGGUAUUCUGGAAAGAUGUCCAAACUGUAUCAUUUAGAGGAAGUAAAANUCGUAACA
rnacentral:rRNA from 1 species